rnacentral:lncRNA from 1 species
CGGCAAACAGAGAAAGUUAUCUGUGGCUCCCAGCAGGUAGAUGUUGGUGACUGAACUUCUGUUAAGAGGAGUAUUUGAUGACCACGACCUUAUCCUUUUCUGCUGCUUCUCUGUUGCUGCCCAUGCACAUCCCCUGAUGCACAGCAUGUAUCCCUUCAUCUUGAUCAUCACUGGAAAAGGCGAGAGUGUACAAAGUUAAACAGCAAAAAUAUAGCUGACGCUUGUCUUCUUUCUCUCUCCACAAACACAGACACGAAUUCUCUCUAGUUUCUCCAGGGGGUGAUAACAGCAAGGCUCCUUCCCUCUGGAAACAUAUACAAUUUUGCUGGAGUAAUAAAAACACCAAAGAGGAGAACCAGCAGCAGACACAGGACUGGUUUGAUUUUAUUUUCUCACCUCUGUGGAGAGCGAAGCAGUAAAAUCUUUCAAGAGGCCUGCGUCUGGGUAUCCCGCUGCUGCCUUCAGCCCCAUCUCCUGAGCAGUAGGAGUGGUGGCUUCACAGCCUUUUCAAGUUAUUCAGAAUCAGUUUCCAGUGUGCAAAUGUUAUCUAGAAGCAUGAAGACAGCUCUGGGAAAAGAAACAGCUUUGCAUCAACAUGAGACACAGCUCAUAUUCUCUUUUACAUGAGGAUGUAACUAGCUCUGUUUUACCUGACGUGAAUGUAAAUUGAUUUUCCUCCUCGUUCCCAUGAUGAAUUAUCUUCCUCAAGCUGUGCUACUGAGUGGUCAGAAAACACAGAAAGAAUGUGUCAGGAGCUUGAAGAAGAAGCAAAACAAUGGCCAUGUGAACAGAACAUGUGGAAAAAUCAGAACACAAGAAGGAGAAAAGGAGCCAUGAUGUUAAAGCUCUGUGAUGAAGUGGGAAUUAAGCAGCAUGCCAUCCUGCCACCACUCCCUCACCAUUGACCGGUGUUUCGCAUGGACCAUGGGAGGCUCUUUGUUCUGGAGGCAGGAGAGCCCAUGGAACAAAUGGUCCUGGCUGUAUGCAAAUAAUGUCACUUUUGGGAGGCAGAACAUGUGGCAGAACUGCUAUGUAAGUUCAUGUCAUCUGGCCUGCGUUUACAGAUCUUACCAAGACAUGUUGCAGAUGAAAUUGACUUACUGCUGUCUUUUCUCUGUAACAGAGGGUCUGUGCUGCUGAAGUGUUCACAAAAGCUGAG